rnacentral:rRNA from 1 species
CCUACGGGUGGCUGCAGUUAGGAAUCUUGGGCAAUGGGCGAAAGCCUGACCCAGCCAUGCCGCGUGAAUGAUGAAGGUCCUAGGAUUGUAAAAUUCUUUCACCGGGGAAGAUAAUGACGGUACCCGGAGAAGAAGCUCCGGCUAACUUCGUGCCAGCAGCCGCGGUAAUACGAAGGGGGCUAGCGUUGCUCGGAAUUACUGGGCGUAAAGGGCGCGUAGGCGGACGACUAAGUUGGGGGUGAAAUCCCAGGGCUCAACCCUGGAACUGCCUCCAA